ACUGAUAUUCGCGCCUCUACCUCUACCAUGCUCUGGGGUGAUUUGUCUUGGUUGCAAUAUGCUUUGACUUUCGGCUGGAGAUGCCCUUUUCUUCUCAAGGCUUCAACUGGUGCUUCCUGCUCUGGCCGGGCUUGGGUGCUGCUGGCUUGAAAGAGUCGUUUGCGCCUCUUCCACUGGAGAGCUGGGCUUGCUGCGGCUUGGGUCUCCUUUCGUCUGUUCAGCGAUGCUGGUGGGGCUUGGUAGCGGCUUGAAGUUCUUUUUUUUUUUUUUUUAAUUGUGGCUACGCUAAAUUUUUAUCGAUUAUCGGUAUUGGCUCAGUAAAGAUCGCCCCUAAUCAUGAUUAUACAUUCAAUGCGCAUUACUUAGGCCUCCUGCAACAUUGGGAGAGCUGCUGCUUAUUGGGUGGGAUUAGACGAUUUGUUUAAUCUGGAAAAUUGCUUUGGGGGUUUCAGUUCCUGAUUCCUGUCAUUUGUCCUCCGAGGCUAUUCGGUUGUUGUCAGGUUUGGUUUUCUUUCCUGCUGUUCUUGUUUGGUUAGCUUUUCUUACCCUUUUUUAUGUACCUGUGCUUGCUAUGGUGUCAUUUCAUGUCCUAUUAUAUUAGGUUUUAAAAAAUGGCAGCUAUUCGGUUGUUGUCAGGUUUGGUUUUCUUUCCUGCUGUUCUGGUUUGGUUAGCUUUUCCUACCCUUUUUAUUGACCUGUGCUUGCUAUGUUGUCAUUUCAUGUCCUAUUUUACUAGGUUUUAAAAUAUGGCAGCUACUAUUGCCCUUGGGCUCGCCAUGCUUUUACGUCCUUUCUUUUGGGUUGGGGAGUGCAGAUAGGCUCAUUUGUGUUUCGAUUUGUUUUUUUUUUUUUUCCAUGCCUCUAUACAUGCUUGCUUCCUCUUUUUGUUCAUUUAGCUUUCUACCAUUGGUCCUCCUGGUGCAUCUUUUUGUGCAACUUUUCUUCCUCUGUUAUCGUUAGCUUGGUUCUGUCUUUCUUUUUUCGAUGUUAAUUUCUUUGAGGUUAUCUUCCUAGGUUUUGGUUUUCUUUCAUUGAAUAUGCUGGCUUGUUUUGUGUUCAUAGUGUCUCAUAGGAAUAGUUUUCCAGUAGGCUUGCUGAGGCUUUUGUCUCCUUUGUGGAUGUUCUUCUUGGCCAGAGGAUCAUGGAACUGUCUUAGUCUUUGAUCGGCCAGCUUUCUGAACUCAGUUGUGCGCUUUUUUACCUAUUGAUCCACUGUUAUCUUGGGCUCUUUCAUUCCUAAUUUAUCUGAGCUUGAGAACUUCAGCCUUCUACCGCAUAUCCACUGAGACACUUUAUUGGAUAAAAUAAAGAGAUUUGGCCAGGACUGCUUCAUUUUCCUCCGUUGCUUCAUAGGCGACUGUUUUUACAGGUUCACUUAUGAUUUUUUUUACCAAUUAAAAUGUUUUUGUUUGCUGUGCUGGCCUAAAGAAAGGUGCCUAACAGCCUGUUAACCUGCGCUUGAGAUCUCAUCCACUUGGUUGGGACCGCUACCUUCUUUUCGCUGUUUUUUCUGCUUCUGUUUGUCCAAGUUUGUUUCUGCUCUUAUCCUCCUGCCCAUCCCUUUGGUUUUCAUUAUUGAGGAGCAGUAAUCCAAUUCUUCAGCAGCCCUUAAUUUGUGUGGGAACAUGAAACGCUUCCGGUCCUGUGAUAAACAGUGGAACUCAUGUGAAGAACAUUGAUUAUCAACCUGAGCUCAACGAGUUUUAGGUCAGCACCCACUGGAGAGAACUGACUUCUAUGAAAGUUUACCAUUUAUUUUAUAGCAUCUUUGAUCAAGAAAGAAGAUUGUGACGGAGUUGAUAUAAUUGAUUAGUCAAUAUACAUUGCGUAGGCAACACUUAAAAGAAAGCAUAAGUAUUGCCUGCAAAAAAAAAGACGGCACCUUUUGUUUUCUUUUGACACUGUGAGGCUAGAUUUAAAUGCAGUGAGUGGAAGAGAAGGGUUCGACAACAAGAGAGGGUGGGUGGCAUUUAAUGUUAGCUGAAAAACCUCCAAAGUUAAGUUAAAAUCUGAAAAGUCAUUCAUUUUUUUCCUCCAUUUCCGAAUUAUUUUUUGCUGUUCUAAAAUCAUUUUUGUGUCUGUAAUGUUGAGUUUGAGUUUGGAGAUCAUUUUGACAGUACUGACAUGCAAUGCCUCUAGAAUCACAUGCCAUCUUUGGGUCUACAGUAUUGAGGUUGUUGUGUCUGUUUGUCGUUCUAGCAGAGAUCUAUGUUACUGAAUCCUUCUCUGUCAUUCGCACUUUUACAAUUAGCUUUUUUUAUCCCUCUGCACAUUUUUUGGUUGGAUGCUGCACAUUCAAAUUAAGGUGUUGAUAUACUGCAAUGAUUUAUACUACAGACUUGAUUGUAUAUGCUAAUCACUGCUGCGUAUUUCUUUAGGAACACACUUUUAUGGCUCCUGCCAGUUUUACUCAAGCAUGUCCUUACUUUUUUGGCGACUUCUCCGUAAUGUUUACCGUUGCAUCAGCUUUUUUUGCCCCUGAUUCGUUGCAAUUCCAUGCAGCGAAUCAGCUUCGCAUGAUUACCUUAUUUCACUCUGCCUUUUCUACUUAUUACUUUCGCUGUUAGAUUAUGAUUCAUGCUUUUUGAAAAGAUUGAGAGUUGAUUCAUGCUUUUUUGAUUUUCUAGCUUAUACCAAUGCCAAUGACAAGAAUGAAUCCUGUAUUUAGAGCUUUGGGUGGCCACUUAAUUAGGAAUUACCCGAGAAUCUUUUGAAAACAGGGGAUUUUUUUGUGUUUUUGUAUAUUUUAGAGUCAGGUUGGGAUUUGCCCUAUUCUUGCUCUUGCUAGAUUUGCUACUUGGAUAUGAUGGAAAAUGGGAAGGAAAUUUCGAGAUUCGUAUAACCCAGAUUUAGCAAGUCUCCCUUUGAGCUGCUUGGAUUGUUUUUUCUUAGAAUUUGCAAAGAGGCAAGACCUUUGUAUUUAUACGUAAGCAUUGGUGAUUACAUAAUGAGUUUUCUGUCAAGAACAAUUAUGAUAGAUUGUGUUAACUUCUUUUGCUCUUAGCCUAGCCACUGUUUGUUUCAGUCGAGCUGGAAAACUAUUGUUUUAGACAUGGUUUCUUUCCUAGCUUAAGACAACCACUUUAGCUAUGGUUCUCAUUUCAAGCAAUGGUCACACGCACGGCUGCACUGUUCUCACAUUUUAUUUUCUUUUUUUGCCUAUAACUUGCCUUAACUUGACUCAUUACGCCCAUCUCUUCGUUUCCCUUUUUUUAUCCAUUUUGUUUUUGUUUUCCCAGCACUCAUCUACAUUUGGCAGCCUUGCUAGCUGGCUUUUCCAACAUAUCUUUAUGUUUCUAUUCAUCCUUUCAUGCUUAAAAAUAUGCUCCACAGGUCGACUAGCUCUCCGACGAGGAUGCUUGGUUGAGAGGUGUCCGGCAAAAUAGGUGGUUUUUUUGUUGUUUUUUACAGAUAAGAACAUGCAUAACACAGCCCCAUUUCAGCACCUUCGUUGUCAAAAAAUGCUCGUGGCACCUGCUGUUGGGGGUUUUAUUUGUUGUUUUCCCGACUUUUCUUGGGCAGCCACUCCAUGUUAAGAUAUCAUAAAGCAUGGAUUAUGCUUAUUUACAACUUUAUCGCUGUCUCACAUCAAGAUUUCUAUGUUUUUCGCUUCGUACUUAAACAUACUCACAACUAUGCUUUAUGUGCUUUCACGCUCUGUGUUUCUCAUCCAUUCAACUCCAUCAUUCAAUGGUUUAUGAU